UUGCAUACUUCGGCAGCACAUGUACUAAAAUUGGAAUGAUACAGCAAAGAUUAGCAUGGUCUCUGCACAAGGACGACACACCAAUUGGUGAAGUGGACUGUACUUUA
ensembl:snRNA U6 U6 spliceosomal RNA